rnacentral:rRNA from 1 species
GAUGAACGCUGGCGGCGUGCCUAAUACAUGCAAGUCGAGCGAACAGAUGAGGAGCUUGCUCCUCUGACGUUAGCGGCGGACGGGUGAGUAACACGUGGAUAACCUACCUAUAAGACUGGGAUAACUUCGGGAAACCGGAGCUAAUACCGGAUAAUAUAUUGAACCGCAUGGUUCAAUAGUGAAAGACGGUUUUGCUGUCACUUAUAGAUGGAUCCGCGCCGCAUUAGCUAGUUGGUAAGGUAACGGCUUACCAAGGCGACGAUGCGUAGCCGACCUGAGAGGGUGAUCGGCCACACUGGAACUGAGACACGGUCCAGACUCCUACGGGAGGCAGCAGUAGGGAAUCUUCCGCAAUGGGCGAAAGCCUGACGGAGCAACGCCGCGUGAGUGAUGAAGGUCUUCGGAUCGUAAAACUCUGUUAUUAGGGAAGAACAAAUGUGUAAGUAACUAUGCACGUCUUGACGGUACCUAAUCAGAAAGCCACAGCUAACUACGUG